UCGAACGAUGAACUCCAGCUUGCUGGGGGRAUUAGUGGCGAACGGGUGAGUAACACGUGAGUAACCUGCCCUUGACUCUGGGAUAAGCGCUGGAAACGGCGUCUAAUACCGGAUACGAGCUUCAGCCGCAUGGCUAGGAGUUGGAAAGAAUUUUGGUCAAGGAUGGACUCGCGGCCUAUCAGCUAGUUGGUGAGGUAAUGGCUCACCAAGGCGACGACGGGUAGCCGGCCUGAGAGGGUGACCGGCCACACUGGGACUGAGACACGGCCCAGACUCCUACGGGAGGCAGCAGUGGGGAAUAUUGCACAAUGGGCGAAAGCCUGAUGCAGCAACGCCGCGUGAGGGACGACGGCCUUCGGGUUGUAAACCUCUUUUAGUAGGGAAGAAGCGAAAGUGACGGUACCUGCAGAAAAAGCACCGGCUAACUACGUGCCAGCAGCCGCGGUAAUACGUAGGGUGCAAGCGUUGUCCGGAAUUAUUGGGCGUAAAGAGCUCGUAGGCGGUUUGUCGCGUCUGCUGUGAAAUCUGGGGGCUCAACCCCCAGCCUGCAGUGGGUACGGGCAGACUAGAGUGCGGUAGGGGAGAUUGGAAUUCCUGGUGUAGCGGUGGAAUGCGCAGAUAUCAGGAGGAACACCGAUGGCGAAGGCAGAUCUCUGGGCCGUAACUGACGCUGAGGAGCGAAAGCAUGGGGAGCGAACAGGAUUAGAUACCCUGGUAGUCCAUGCCGUAAACGUUGGGAACUAGAUGUGGGGACCAUUCCACGGUCUCCGUGUCGCAGCUAACGCAUUAAGUUCCCCGCCU
rnacentral:rRNA from 1 species